ACCUCAUGUACCUUAUUUUUCACCAAGUUGCACUUUUGAGGUUGGUACUUCCAAUCCAGUAUACAACAAGCUUCUUUUGACAAUUAGCCAAAGCCUAGUGAGUUGUCAAGAGAAAAGGGCAAUUUUGGAAUUUUAUUUUGGGACUUAAAGAGAGAUGCCACAUCAUUUAUAUUGUAAUUUUUCUUAUUUUAUUUCAUUGUAAUUUGCAUUUGAAUUCCAUUUCAAUGUAAUUUGGGACAAAUUAGAAAAUAGGCCAAAAUUGGAAUGACAAAGUUGGAAUAUCGGUUUAUAAGAAGCAAAAAUUAGAUUGGGAAAGGAUCCCCUUCCUUUCACUUGCUGGACGUUGCUGAAAUGUAGAAAGGGGGCAACUUUCUUCUUCUCCCAUUUUUUGGGAUGUUCCAAGGGCCUUGUAGCUGGAUGUUUAGGUUCUAAUUUUGUUUUCCUCUUCUUUGCUGUAAUGAAUUCAUCUACAAUUUCAC
rnacentral:sRNA from 1 species